rnacentral:rRNA from 1 species
UACGGGGGGGGCGAGCGUAGUCCGAAGUUACUGGGCGUAAAGCGCGUGUAGGCGGGUUGUUAAGUCCGCUGUGAAAGCCCGGUGCUCAACGCCGGAGGGUCGGUGGAUACUGGCAGUCUUGAAGUGGCUAGGGGGAAAUGGAAUUACCGGUGUAGCGGUGAAAUGCGUAGAUAUCGGUAGGAACACCAGUGGCGAAGGCGGUUUCCUGGAGCUAACUUGACGCUGAGACGCGAAAGCUGGGGGAGCAAACGGG